ensembl:lncRNA
CCCGCACCGGAGACAUGGGACUGAGGAGUCACCGAGGGGGAAACUCUUCAGCGACUCAACACAACAAACCAAACUAAGGAAAGCAGCUGUGGCUCACCAUGUCGUCCGGACUCUUAAUUUUCUUACCUGAGUUUUUAACUUUAACUCAGUGACUUUAAAAAAAAAAAAAGGACCGGAAGAGAAGCUAGAUAAAUGACAUCCGUGCAUUUUUGAUUACCUGGGGCAAAGUGCCACACCUUCGCUCACCAAGACAGGUGGACCGGUGCUGUGAUGUCAGCCAUAUGGCGCAAGUGUCCACAGCAGACAGAACACAGGCACAGAUAAAAUAAAAUUGACAGUGGAGGUGUGAGUGCACCUGCUGCACGUAGGACUCUUUAACCUACUGCGCUAAAACAACUAAUGGAAAUAUAGGUAUGUCAUAAUUUUUUUUAUAAGCUAUUUUCCCAAUGUAGCCCUUACCAUUUAUGAAAAACCUUUAUAAUAAUUAUAAUAAUAAAAAUAGUUAUUAUUCUUCUCUGUCUUUUCCUGGCAUGUGGGUGUAAGAAGUUUAACUACAGUGUUUGUAAUUCAAAUUUAAAGCAUGCUUCGGUGGAUGUAAGACAGGCUAAAAAUUUCCAUAACACCCUGAGCCCUUUGGUCAUGUUCAGGUGAACUGAAUGAAAGUGUUGAAAACUGUUGUUGUUGAUCUUUGUUGAGUUGGAGCAGACAGGUAGAGGAGC